UUUUAAGCUCCCUUCCAAGGACCUUGGAAUUGAUUGCUCUUAUCAGGUGGUGAAGUAAUUUUCCUCAAUGGAUUUGGAUUUCUUUAUGAACAGAAAGAAUUUUGCUCAGGAAACUGCUGAGUUCAGUGAAAGGAGAUGACAGACCUGGCUUUGCAGCAGAGAUAUUGCUACUGAAAGUAUGAUUGUCACCACAAGCAGUGUGCCAUAAACACAUCAAGGUUUAGGCAGAAGAAAAAAUAUCAUUGGUUGAGGUUAGACUUAACCAUGGCAAAAAAAAAAAAAGAAGUGGGUUUAAAGUUGAUACUUUCACACUAGAAGCUGGUCGUGGCCUUCACCUCCUUUCCUUCCAACAGGAGUCCCGACAGCAGGGUUAAGUUUAUAUGAUACCUCUGGACUUUGUAUCCACGCUGGAAAUAGGAUCUGUUUGUAUUGGCCGGAGAUAAAGCAUUCCUUCUGCAUCCAUCGGCGUGUUUGUUUUCACCUCUGCCUAUGCACGGGUACCACAGCGAAUGUUUCCAAACAGCAGAUUAAUCAGAAAGCACGAGGUGCAGCUGCAGCCAGACUGUGGUUUCUUCUCUCUCUCUUUGAGGCAGAGAGCAUUUGUAACCACUUUCCUGUCUUCACAGAGCUGCUGAUGAUCGCAUCUUCUUGGAAUUUGCUGCUUGUGCUGGCGCACAGCGACAGCAGAACCACGGCGGCCGCCGGGGGCUCGCUGAUUGUCUCUCUCCUCCUGGGGCUUGCCGCGGUCACUCACGC
ensembl:lncRNA